GACAGAGGGUGCAAACGUUGUUCGGAAUUACUGGGCGUAAAGCGCGUGUAGGCGGCCAUCUAAGUCGGGCGUGAAAUCCCACGGCUCAACCGUGGAAGUGCACUCGAAACUGGAUGGCUAGAGUCCUGGAGAGGAAGGUGGAAUGCUUGGUGUAGAGGUGAAAUUCGUAGAUAUCAAGCGGAACACCAGUGGCGAAGGCGACUACCUGGCCUGUUCUUGACGCUGAGGCGCGAAAGCUAGGGGAGCAAACGGG
rnacentral:rRNA from 1 species